UAAUAAGCGGAGGAAAAGAAACUAACAAGGAUUCCCCUAGUAACGGCGAGUGAAGCGGGAUGAGCUCAAACUUAAAAUCUCCAUACAAGUUUUGUGUGGCGAAUUGUAGUCUAUGGAGGCGCUGUCAGUGCGGUUAUCUGGGAUAAGUCUCUUGGAAAAGAGCAGCAUCGAGGGUGAUACUCCCGUUUGUGCCUAGAUAGCUUGCGCGUACGACACGUUUUCUUUGAGUCGCGUUGUUUGGGAAUGCAGCGCAAAGUGGGUGGUAAAUUCCAUCUAAAGCUAAAUAUUGGUGCGAGACCGAUAGCGAACAAGUACCGUGAGGGAAAGAUGAAAAGAACUUUGAAAAGAGAGUUAAAGAGUACCUGAAACUGCUGAAAGGGAAUCGAAUCGUAUCCAGUGUCUAUAAUCUGCAGCAUAUUUCAUUGGCGAGUCGAUGCGUGUUUUGUGUUGGUAGUUCGUAAGAUCGCCGCGCGGAAUUCUGCAUUUGCUUGCUGGUGCCCUGUGUUGUGGUGUGACGUCAGAGUCAGUUCGUAUACCGCGGGAAAUGGCUAAUAGAGGAGGUAGGUCAGGUGCUUGCACUCGACUGUUAUAUCUUUGUUAGCUAGUGUUCGUGGUUGGGACUGAGGUGCCUACAACGUGCUUAGAGCUCUUGCGGGUGCUUGUCUGGUCGACYGCUUGGAUUGCUUGCAAUGCUGGUGGUUGUAUCGGGUGAUUGUGCCUGUAAGUAACUUUUGCCGUUCGGGACUUUGACGAAAUGGAGCGAUUCGGCCCGUCUUGAAACACGGACCAAGGAGUCUAACAUGUGUGCGAGUGUUAGGGUGUGGAAACCCCAGCGCGUAAUGAAAGUAAAGGGUAGCGUAAGCUAUCUGAGGUAGGAAACCUCUCCUCGUGGGGGGUGGCACUAUCGACCGAUCAUGAACCUUCGUGGUGAAAGAUUUGAGUAUGAGCACAUAUGUUGGUACCCGAAAGAUGGUGAACUAUGCCUGAGUAGGGUGAAGCCAGGGGAAACUCUGGUGGAAGCUCGUAGCGAUUCUGACGUGCAAAUCGAUCGUCAAACUUGGGUAUAGGGGCGAAAGACUAAUCGAACCAUCUAGUAGCUGGUUCCCU
rnacentral:rRNA from 1 species